rnacentral:rRNA from 1 species
ACGGAGGAUCCACGCGUUAUCCGGAUUUAUAGGGUUUAAAGGGUGCGCAAGCGGAUCAAUAAGUCAGGGGUGAAAAAUUUCAGCUUAACUGGAAUCGUGCCUUUGAUACUGUUGGACUAGAGUAUAAUUGACGUGACUGGAAUGUGAUGUGUAGCGGUGAAAUGCUUAGUUAUGUCACAGAACGCCAAUCGUGAAGACAGGACACGAAAUUAUUUCUGACGCUCAUGCUCGAAAGCGUAAGGAUCAAAAAG